rnacentral:rRNA from 1 species
AUUGAACGCUGGCGGCAGGCCUAACACAUGCAAGUCGAACGAGUGGCGGACGGGUGAGUAAUGUCUGGGAAACUGCCCGAUGGAGGGGGAUAACUACUGGAAACGGUAGCUAAUACCGCAUACCAUCGGAUGUGCCCAGAUGGUGUUAGCUUGUAGGUGAGGUAAGGGCUCACCUAGGCGACGAUCCCUAGCUGGUCUGAGAGGAUGACCAGCCAACCUGCAACUGUGACACGGUCCAGACUCCGACGGUAGGCAGCAGUGGAGAAUAUUGCACAAUGGGAGCAAGCCUGAUACAGCCAUGCCGCGUGUAUGAAGAAGGCCUUCGGGUUGUAAAGUACUUUCAGCGGGGCGGCGUUACCCGCAGAAGAAGCACCGGCUAACUCCGUGCCAGCAGCCGCGGUAAUAC